rnacentral:rRNA from 1 species
UACGGAGGGGGCUAGCGUUGUUCGGAAUUACUGGGCGUAAAGCGCACGUAGGCGGCGGCGUAAGCGGGAUGUGAAAGCCCAGGGCUCAACCCUGGAAGUGCAUCCCGAACUGUGUCGCUUGAAUCUCGGAGGGGGACAGAGAAUUCCCGGUGUAGAGGUGAAAUUCGUAGAUAUCGGGAGGAAUACCAGUGGCGAAGGCGCUGUCCUGGACGAAGAUUGACGCUGAGGUGCGAAAGCGUGGGGAGCAAACAGG